rnacentral:rRNA from 1 species
AGAGUUUGAUCCUGGCUCAGGAUGAACGCUGGCGGCGUGCCUAACACAUGCAAGUCGAGCGAGAAGGUAGAGAGUGAUUCUUCGGAUGAGCGAUCUACCGGGCAGCGGCGGACGGGUGAGUAACGCGUGGGUAACCUGCCUUAUACUGGGGGAUAACAUUCUGAAAAGGAUGCUAAUACCGCAUAAGCGCACAGCAUCGCAUGAUGCCGUGUGAAAAACUCCGGUGGUAUAAGAUGGACCCGCGUCUGAUUAGCUAGUUGGUGAGAUAAUAGCUCACCAAGGCAACGAUCAGUAGCCGACCUGAGAGGGUGAUCGGCCACAUUGGGACUGAGACACGGCCCAAACUCCUACGGGAGGCAGCAGUGGGGAAUAUUGCACAAUGGGGGAAACCCUGAUGCAGCGACGCCGCGUGAAGGAUGAAGGUUUUCGGAUCGUAAACUUCUAUCCGCAGGGAAGAAAAUGACUGUACCUG